rnacentral:rRNA from 1 species
AUUGAACGCUGGCGGCAUGCUUUACACAUGCAAGUCGAACGGCAGCGCGGGCUUCGGCCUGGCGGCGAGUGGCGAACGGGUGCGUAAUUCAUCGGAACGUGCCCAGUAGUGGGGGAUAGCCCGUCGAAAGCCGGAUUAAUACCGCAUACGACCUGAGGGUGAAAGCGGGGGACCGAAAGGCCUCGCGCUAUUGGACCGGCCGAUGUCGGAUUAGCUAGUUGGUGGGGUAAAGGCUUACCAAGGCGACGAUCCGUAGCUGGUCUGAGAGGACGACCAGCCACACUGGGAAUGAGACACGGCCCAGACUCCUACGGGAGGCAGCAGUGGGGAAUUUUGGACAAUGGGGGCAACCCUGAUCCAGCCAUGCCGCGUGCGGGAAGAAGGCCUUCGGGUUGUAAACCGCUUUUGUUCGGGAAGAAAUCCUCUGGGCUAAUACCCCGGGGGGAUGACGGUACCGGAAGAAUAAGCACCGGCUAACUACGUG